CCUACGGGAGGCUGCAGUGGGGGAUAUUGCACAAUGGGGGGAACCCCGAUGCAGCGACGCCGCGUGGGUGAAGGAGCGUUUCGGCGCGUAAAGCCCUAUCGGCAGGGAAGAAGAUGACGGUACCUGACCAAGAAGCCCCGGCUAACUACGUGCCAGCAGCCGCGGUAAUACGUAGGGGGCAAGCGUUAUCCGGAUUUACUGGGAGCAAAGGGAGCGCAGACGGCUGUGCAAGUCUGGCGUGAAAGGCGGGGGCCCAACCCCCGGACUGCUCUGGAAACUGUAAAGCUGGAGUGCAGGAGAGGUAAGCAGAAUGCCUAGUGUAGCGGUGAAAUGCGUAGAUAUUAGGAGGAACACCAGUGGCGAAGGCGGCUUACUGGACUGCAACUGACGUUGAGGCUCGAAAGCGUGGGGAGCAAACAGGAUUAGAUACCCUUGUAGUC
rnacentral:rRNA from 1 species